rnacentral:rRNA from 1 species
UGCGUAGGCGGUUAUUUAAGUAGGAUGUGAAAUCUCCCGGCUCAACCGGGGAACUGCGUUCUAAACUGGAUAACUUGAGUGAGAUAGAGGUGUGCGGAACUUCCGGUGGAGCGGUGAAAUGUGUUGAUAUCGGAGGGAACACCGUUGGCGAAAGCGGCACACUGGGUCUUAACUGGCGCUGAGGCACGAAAGCCAGGGGAGCAAACG